rnacentral:rRNA from 1 species
UAAACUAGGAUUAGAUACCCUAUUAUUUAAAAUGUAAAUUUUUAAUAUUAAAUUAGUAUUAGUUGAAUUCUUGAAAUUUAAAAGUUUUGGCGGUGUUUUAAUCUUUUCAGAGGAACCUGUCCUGUAAUUGAUAGUCCACGAUAUUUUUUACUUUUUCUUUUGGUUUGUAUAUCGUUGUUUAAAAAAUUUUUUUAGAAUAUAAAUUUUUUUAAUUUAAUAUUAUUAAUUAAAUCAGAUCAAGACAUAGCUUAUGAAUAAGAAGAGAUGGGUUACAAUAGAGUUAUUUAUAUGGAUAAAUAUAUUAAUUUUGUUUAGAAGGUGGAUUUGAAAGUAAUCUGAAUUAUUAAUUUUGGUGAAUUAAGUUUUGAAAUGUGUACAUAUCGCCCGUCGCUCUUUCUAUAAAGGAAGAUAAGUCGUAACAUAGUAGAUGUACCGGAAGGUGUGUCUAGAAAGGCAAAUUAGAGCUUGUUUUAAAGCAUUUUAUUUACAUUAAAAAGUUGUUGUGAAAAUCAAUUUAAUGAUGAUAUUAUUAUUAUUAUUUAUAUUGAUUAUUUUUUAAUUUUAUAAAAAGUAAUAUUAUAAGGAUGGGUUUUAUUAUUUGUUUUGAACGAAUUUUUUUUAUUAUAAAUUAUUUUUAUUGAGAAAGAUUUAAUUUUAUUUAUUAAAAGUAGAUUUUGUUUAUUGUAUCUUGUGUAUCAGGGUUUAUUUAUUUAGGUUAUGAAUAUAUAUAUUUCCCGAAAAGAAAAUAUUUAUAUUGUUAUUAUUUUUAUUGUUGAAUAAAUAUUUUUUAUGACAAUAUGGAAAUUAGAAAUUUUCGUUUUUCUUAUAUCUGGUUUUUCAAGAAAUAAAUUUAAUUUAUUGAUUUUUGUACAAAUAUUUUUUUUUAGAAAUUUAUUUGUUAAGGAUUUGUAUAUUUCAUGGGCUUAGCUUUGAUUUAUAUUUAUAUAAUUUUAUUAUUUUUGGUUAAAUUUGUAAGUUUAGAAUUAUUUAUUUUAAGCAAUAUGUUAUAAUUGAUUUAAUUCAUGAAAAGAUUUAUUUUAUGUUUAUUUUAUUUAUUGAAAUUAAUUUUUAAAUUUUUUUAAUUUUUUAAUAAUGGUGGAAUUAGUAUAUUUUAUUUUAUUUAAUUUUAUUUGUUUAAAAAUUAUUAACAGGAAUUCGGCAAACAGAUUCUCGAAAGUUUAUCAAAAACAUUUCCCUUAGGUAAUUAUUUAAGGUAAGGCCUGCUCAAUGAUAUUAAAUAGCUGCGGUAUUUUGACCGUACAAAGGUAGCAUAAUCAUUAGUUUUUUAAUUGAAAGCUAGAAUGAAUGGUUUAACGAGGAAUCGACUGUCUUUUUUUAAUGUGUAAAAUUUAAUUUUUUAGUCAAAAAGCUUAAAUAAUAUUAAAAGACGAGAAGACCCUAUAGAUCUUUAUUUGAUAUUCUAUAUUUGAUUUUUGGAUUAGGUUUUUUGUAUAGAUUUUUAAAUUUUAUUGGGGUGAUAUUGAGAUUUAUUUAACUCUUUUUCUAAAAAUUAAUGAUUUUUAUUUUUAUGAUCCAUUUUAUUGAUUAUAAGAUUAAGUUACCUUAGGGAUAACAGCGUAAUUUUUUUGGAGAGUUCUUAUCGAUAAAAAAGAUUGCGACCUCGAUGUUGGAUUAAGAAAAAAUCUUGGUGCAGAAUUUUAGAUUUUAGGUCUGUUCGACCUUUAAAUUCUUACAUGAUCUGAGUUCAAACCGGAGA